rnacentral:rRNA from 1 species
AUUGAACGCUGGCGGCAGGCCUAACACAUGCAAGUCGAACGAGAGGCGGACGGGUGAGUAAUGUCUGGGAAACUGCCUGAUGGAGGGGGCUAACUACUGGAAACGGUAGCUAAUACCGCUUAACAUCCUAUGUGCCCUGAUGGGAUUAUCGAGUUGGUGGGGUAACGGCUCACCAAGGCGACGAUCCCUAGCUGGUCUGAGAGGCUGACCGGCCAAACUGGAACUGAGACACGGUCCAGACUCCUACGGGAGGCAGCAGUGGGGAAUAUUGCACAAUGGACGAAAGCCUGAUGCAGCCAUGCCGCGUGUGUGAAGAAGGGCUUCGGGUUGUAAAGUACUUUCGGCGGGGAGGCGGUAUCCGCAGAAAAAGCACCGGCUAACUACGUGCCAGCAGCCGCGGUAAUUC